rnacentral:rRNA from 1 species
UACGGAGGGAGCUAGCGUUAUUCGGAAUUACUGGGCGUAAAGCGCACGUAGGCGGCUUUGUAAGUAAGAGGUGAAAGCCCGGAGCUCAACUCCGGAACUGCCUUUUAGACUGCAUCGCUUGAAUCCAGGAGAGGCGAGUGGAAUUCCGAGUGUAGAGGUGAAAUUCGUAGAUAUUCGGAAGAACACCAGUGGCGAAGGCGGCUCACUGGACUGGUAUUGACGCUGAGGUGCGAAAGCGUGGGGAGCAAACAGG